CCCGGAGAGACUCGGAGCAAGGACCCUGCAGGUAGAUGCUGUGCUGAUUCCUGAAGGCAGCGAGGCCCCGAAUCUGCCCCAAAGAGGGGCUCGGCCACGAGGUAACGUGAUGGUGGCACAUCCCAGCUGUCCCCACUCUCCUGGGGGUGCUCUGGGGCUCCUGGGGGACACUCGAUGGCCAGAUCCCAAAUCCCAGCUCUGCCUGAGCUCCUUCCCCUGGGAGCCACAAGGAUGGGGCCAAACCCAGCCAAACCUCCGUGGGGAUUUGGGAACAGGAGAUCCUCCAACACCCCCAUCCUGAGCCCCUGGAGCCCCACGAGCCACCCCCAGUGCCCAGGACGAGGCCACCACAGUGCACGAGGACUUUUAUUGGGUCUCGUAUGUACAGAGCCGGGCUGGGGGCGUGGGGCAGGGCAGGGGGGACUCCCCAAGGGCUGGCUCAGAGCAGGGGGUGCUUGCCCUGCUGCUGCUGCCGGUUUGCCAAGUGCAUGAGCUUGAGGAGCAGAUCUCCGGCCGAGCCAUCCAGCACCGUCAGGUUCUUCUCCUCCGCCGCCUCCUGAGCGCUGUCGCUGCCCUCGUCCAGGCAGGCGGUGUCCAUGGAGCACGUCUCUGCCGCAGGGAGCAAAAGGCGGCGAUGGAACAGUCAGCCUGAAUCCAACCAUCCCCAAACCAUCUCCGAAUGGCGCCAACACCGCUUCCACUCCGUGCCUCAGUUUCCCCCCGCUACGACCAAACCACACCACCAUAGAAGCGUUACCUGAAGAGUUCUUCCCCUCGCCACCCCUCCAUGCUCCCCACCCACCCC